rnacentral:rRNA from 1 species
GGGUUGUGAGGUUAAGCGACUAAGCGUACACGGUGGAUGCCCUGGCAGUCAGAGGCGAUGAAGGACGUGCUAAUCUGCGAUAAGCGCCGGUAAGGUGAUAUGAACCGUUAUAACCGGCGAUUUCCGAAUGGGGAAACCCAGUGUGACUCGUCACACUAUCAUUAACUGAAUCCAUAAGUUAAUGAGGCGAACCGGGGGAACUGAAACAUCUAAGUACCCCGAGGAAAAGAAAUCAACCGAGAUUCCCCCAGUAGCGGCGAGCGAACGGGGAGGAGCCCAGAGCCUGAAUCAGCAUGUGUGUUAGUGGAAGCGUCUGGAAAGGCGCGCGAUACAGGGUGACAGCCCCGUACACAAAAGCGCAUGUGCUGUGAGCUCGAAGAGUAGGGCGGGACACGUGGUAUCCUGUCUGAAUAUGGGGGGACCAUCCUCCAAGGCUAAAUACUCCUGACUGACCGAUAGUGAACCAGUACCGUGAGGGAAAGGCGAAAAGAACCCCGGCGAGGGGAGUGAAAAAGAACCUGAAACCGUGUACGUACAAGCAGUGGGAGCACAGGUUUACC